CUUAUGGGGAUUUCAAGUUUAUAUUUUUCUAAUGAAGAAGAGAAAAAGAAGCUGAAGUGUCUAAUGCUACCAGGACGUAUCCAACCACAAAUGUGAAGUAAUAAGAAAAAGGAAAACAUGGGAAGCAGAUCACCCUGGGGAAUGGAGAAUAUUCCCUUUCCUCUUUCAUGUUCAUCCCAGGCCACUGAAGAAAAUGGAUCCAUAGUCCUGAAGCAAUUGCCAC